CAGGUUCAUUAUCUUUGAAAAUGCACACAUAAGGUACAUCUAGUACUUCAUCCUUGCUCUAUUUACACAUGCACACAAUUAUCUCCUACAAUCAAGAAUUACAGAACAUUAGCAGGGUACUCUACUGUGUUGCACUUACUGCAUAAUUUAUUGCUUCACAGCAAUCAUCUUCCACCUCUGAAGGAAGUCCUAUUGUACUAUCAAACUUCAGAGCUACCUACUUCAACAUCCCCUUCACUCACAUAAUUCUCUUGCAUUUGAACAGUGCUCAAGGACUCUAAACCUAGCAGUGAUGCUACCAUCACAAUGAGUACUUGAUGAAGGCCAUAGGAGUCUCCUGGUGCUGUCUCCAAGGAGGAGGAUUACCAUUUGUUGGCUGGAUUUGCUGCACCAAACUUGCACUGCAUUGCCUCAAUCCUCAGCAGUGGUCCAUGCCACAGGAGACUAGCAACRCCACUAAAACAAAUCACAGAAAGGCUAGUCCAAAGCUCCAGUUGCAAUUGCCAGCUCACRGGUAAACUUUGCAUUCUGAGAGAUUUACUGAAACUAAAAGAAUUCACCUGUGCGUAAGGAUUACAGCUAACCAGUGGGUUCCACGGACCAUCCGAACCUACUUCUGCUUCCUCCCAAAUACCAUCCCUCUUUUGGGACUACUCAUGACAACCUCUUUGACAAAGAGCCACCAUGCUCUAACUUGAUGCAAAAAAAGUACAUGGACUCAUAGGCCUAGAUUUGUCUCACCUGUUUCUAUGCACCUAACCGAGGCAUCUGGGGUUGAGAUCUUGUUCCCGCAGCCUCUCACCACCUUCAGCAGCAGGGAGAGCAGAGUGGGAACAAUGGUUCAUUUUCUUUCACGACAGCAGAACUCAGAGCUGCUCUCCAGUUUCUGUUGGUUUGAGACUUAGCCUCGUACAUGGCAAACAUCUGUAGCGAUCAGUUCCUGAAAGUUUUCCCCCAUUCCUUGUACAAAAACCUCUAUGAGAAACACAUAUAGCAGGAGAGGGAAGGAGAGAAGG
rnacentral:lncRNA from 1 species